AAAUUGAAGAGUUUGAUCAUGGCUCAGAUUGAACGCUGGCGGCAGGCCUAACACAUGCAAGUCGAACGGUAACAGGAAGCAGCUUGCUGCUUUGCUGACGAGUGGCGGACGGGUGAGUAAUGUCUGGGAAACUGCCUGAUGGAGGGGGAUAACUACUGGAAACGGUGGCUAAUACCGCAUAACGUCGCAAGACCAAAGAGGGGGACCUUCGGGCCUCUUGCCAUCAGAUGUGCCCAGAUGGGAUUAGCUGGUUGGUGAGGUAACGGCUCACCAAGGCGACGAUCCCUAGCUGGUCUGAGAGGAUGACCAGCCACACUGGAACUGAGACACGGUCCAGACUCCUACGGGAGGCAGCAGUGGGGAAUAUUGCACAAUGGGCGCAAGCCUGAUGCAGCCAUGCCGCGUGUAUGAAGAAGGCCUUCGGGUUGUAAAGUACUUUCAGCGGGGAGGAAGGUGUUGUGGUUAAUAACCGCAGCAAUUGACGUUACCCGCAGAAGAAGCACCGGCUAACUCCGUGCCAGCAGCCGCGGUAAUACGGAGGGUGCAAGCGUUAAUCGGAAUUACUGGGCGUAAAGCGCACGCAGGCGGUCUGUCAAGUCGGAUGUGAAAUCCCCGGGCUCAACCUGGGAACUGCAUUCGAAACUGGCAGGCUUGAGUCUUGUAGAGGGGGGUAGAAUUCCAGGUGUAGCGGUGAAAUGCGUAGAGAUCUGGAGGAAUACCGGUGGCGAAGGCGGCCCCCUGGACAAAGACUGACGCUCAGGUGCGAAAGCGUGGGGAGCAAACAGGAUUAGAUACCCUGGUAGUCCACGCCGUAAACGAUGUCUACUUGGAGGUUGUGCCCUUGAGGCGUGGCUUCCGGAGCUAACGCGUUAAGUAGACCGCCUGGGGAGUACGGCCGCAAGGUUAAAACUCAAAUGAAUUGACGGGGGCCCGCACAAGCGGUGGAGCAUGUGGUUUAAUUCGAUGCAACGCGAAGAACCUUACCUGGUCUUGACAUCCACAGAACUUUCCAGAGAUGGACUGGUGCCUUCGGGAACUGUGAGACAGGUGCUGCAUGGCUGUCGUCAGCUCGUGUUGUGAAAUGUUGGGUUAAGUCCCGCAACGAGCGCAACCCUUAUCCUUUGUUGCCAGCGGUUAGGCCGGGAACUCAAAGGAGACUGCCAGUGAUAAACUGGAGGAAGGUGGGGAUGACGUCAAGUCAUCAUGGCCCUUACGACCAGGGCUACACACGUGCUACAAUGGCGCAUACAAAGAGAAGCGACCUCGCGAGAGCAAGCGGACCUCAUAAAGUGCGUCGUAGUCCGGAUUGGAGUCUGCAACUCGACUCCAUGAAGUCGGAAUCGCUAGUAAUCGUGGAUCAGAAUGCCACGGUGAAUACGUUCCCGGGCCUUGUACACACCGCCCGUCACACCAUGGGAGUGGGUUGCAAAAGAAGUAGGUAGCUUAACCUUCGGGAGGGCGCUUACCACUUUGUGAUUCAUGACUGGGGUGAAGUCGUAACAAGGUAACCGUAGGGGAACCUGCGGUUGGAUCACCUCCUUACCUUAAAGAA
rnacentral:rRNA from 1 species